GAGUUUGAUCCUGGCUCUCCCCUGAACACUGGCGGCGUGCCUAACACAUGCAAGUCGAGCGAGAAAGCGGGCUUCGGCCCGUGAGUACAGCGGCGAACGGGUGAGUAACACGUGGGUAACCUACCUGGGAGCGGGGGAUAACCUGGGGAAACUCGGGCUAAUACCGCAUACGUUCCGAGAGCUUCGGCUCGAGGAGGAAAGCUGGCCUCUACACGUAAGCUGGCACUCCCAGAGGGGCCCGCGUCCGAUUAGCUUGUUGGUGGGGUAAUGGCCCACCAAGGCUGCAAUCGGUAGCCGGCCUGAGAGGGUGAUCGGCCACACUGGGACUGAGACACGGCCCAGACUCCUACGGGAGGCAGCAGUGGGGAAUAUUGGACAAUGGGCGAAAGCCUGAUCCAGCAACGCCGCGUGGAGGACGAAGGCCUUCGGGUCGU
rnacentral:rRNA from 1 species